rnacentral:rRNA from 1 species
UGCCAGCCGCCGCGGUAAGACAGAGGGUGCAAACGUUGCUCGGAAUUACUGGGCGUAAAGCGCACGUAGGCGGAUUCGCAAGUCGGGUGCGAAAUCCCCGGGCUCAACCUGGGAACUGCAUUCGAAACUGCGUGUCUAGAGUGGUGGAGAGGGAAGCGGAAUUCCAGGUGUAGAGGUGAAAUUCGUAGAUAUCUGGAGGAACACCAGUGGCGAAGGCGGCUUCCUGGACACUGACUGAUGCUGAGGCGCGAAGGCGUGGGUAGCGAACGGGAUUAGAUA